AUUCAACCGAUGAGUCUUAAAUAGGACGAAACGUGAGUCCUGUAU
rnacentral:hammerhead_ribozyme from 1 species